GUAAUUUGCAGAAGGUGCUUCGGGCGCGACGGCGGUCCAAGUUCCUUGGAAUCGGACGUCGAAGAGGGUGAGAAUCCCGUAUCCGGCCGAUCGUCAAGCCCAUGCGAAGCCCUUUCGACGAGUCGAGUUGUUUGGGAAUGCAGCUCCAAGCGGGUGGUAAAUUUCAUCUAAAGCUAAAUACCUGCCAGAGACCGAUAGCGCACAAGUAGAGUGAUCGAAAGAUGAAAAGCACUUUGAAAAGAGAGUCAAACAGCACGUGAAAUUGUUGAAGGGGAAGCGCUUGCAACCAGACUCGCACGCGGGGGCUCAGCCGUUCCUCGGGACGGUGCACUCCCCCGCGAUCGGGCCAGCAUCGGUUUCGGCGGCCGGACAAAGGCCCGGGGAAAGUAGCUCCUUCGCCGGAGUGUUAUAGCCCCGGGUGCAAUACGGCCCGCCGGGACCGAGGACCGCGCUUUUGCUAGGAUGCUGGCGUAAUGGUUGCCAGCGACCCGUCUUGAAACACGGACCAAGGAGUCGACCGGCGACGCGAGUGUUCGGGCGUCAAACCCGGGCGCGCAAUGAAAGUGAACGGAGGUGGGAGCCCCCGGGCGCACCAUCGACCGAUCCUGAUGUCUUCGGAUGGAUUCGAGUACGAGCGCCGCCGGUCGGACCCGAAAGAUGGUGAGCUAUACGUGGAUAGGGUGAAGCCAGAGGAAACUCUGGUGGAGGCUCGCAGCGGUUCUGACGUGCAAAUCGAUCGUCAAAUCUGCGUAUAGGGGCGAAAGACUAAUCGAACCAUCUAGUAGCUGGUUCCUGUCGAAGUUUCCCUCAGGAUAGCAGCAACGAAGAACAGUCUCAUGAGGUAGAGCGAACGAUUAGAGGCCUUGGGGCGGAAACCGCCUUAACCUAUUCUCGAACUUCGAAUAUGUGAGAAGUCCCUGUUACUUGAUUGAACGGGGACACUUGGAUGUGUCGUUGCUAGUGGGCCAUUUUUGGUAGCAAAAACCUGGCGAA
rnacentral:rRNA from 1 species